AAACCUCCGCAAGAACACACGGACAGUCCGAUUACAUGACCUAUCAACAUUCAUACGUGGCUUGCAUUAUAUAGACACGGAGUAAAGUGGAGGCGGCUUUUGCAUGGAGCCUUAUGGAUAACAUUUUGGUUGUUGGGGACAACAAAAAGGUCUAUGCUAGUCGAAACGGGAUUAUGCGCUAGCUGGAUACGUACACAGACACCAGUAAUGAGAAAAUCGUCGAGUUUGCGUGAGUCAGGGCAUGCGCCAGUUCUCGUGCGGCCCUAAUGAUGCCAUUCCAAGUUUCUAUCUUUCCAUCUUGGAUCUUCCUUGUAUAUUCACGGUAUGGACAUCAACAUCCGGAACAUGCAACACUCUUCCCCUUGACUCUUAAGAGGAUACCUGGCAACGUGAUCUAGUGCAUACAGAAGCCAAAAUACAGAAAAAGAAAAGAAAAGAAGGCCCUAGUUCGUAUGUAAAAUGACCUUGUUUCGUUCGAUUCAUACCAUAUUGUGGAGCGGUUCGAAACCCAUUUUUCAGUCAUUCGUUUAGAAGAGAAGACAAAUAAGGUAACUAUUUCCCGCAAAUCGUAUAUAUCUAACUUCCGGAUCCGGCCCAUCAGUCAUCUAAAUAUGGCGAGAAGUAAAAUUAAAUGCCGGGGCAGCAGCGCAUGCACGAGUCUAUCGGAUGAUGAUCUUUGCCGUUACAACUAGGAUCUUUUCAGUUGACCUUUCUUUUAGGAUUUUCGAGCCGAUCCUGGAAAAUGAAGUCUUCGGUUUUCCUUUUUCUUCUAGUCUCCGGAUAUUUUUUUUUUCUCAUACAACUUCAACUAAAUUUGGAAGCGGGAGGUUUUUUUUUUCCGUCGACUCGCGCUUUAGGCACUUUGUUGACCGGUUUGGCUGCAGAAAAGCCCCUUUUCUUUGCAUCAGGUACUGUGUUUAGUCGACUCGACUCGGCCUAGAUCUACAGCCGACGCGAUGUAAGCGAAAUUUGAUCCAGACAAAGAUCAUGUAAAAGGCAUCCAUUCUGUCAAUUUUAAAAAUGUAGAGACACGCAUACGUUGUCCCUGUUGGCGGUCUGUGGGCUUCAAUAGUCUGUUAGUAUUCUUCACCUGGGCAAAACUUCGCAUUCUGGCUGUGAAGAUAAACUUGGAAUAUUUCAAUCCAGGCUAGCUCUUCCUAUAUCUCACCGCUAGUCCAGUAGGCAGCACCCGACGACGUGACCCUAGCACUACAUCCCGGGCAAACAGCCAGCGAGGCUCUUGGUGAUGGUUGCGGCGGCAAGAUCGCCUUGUGGCGCCCUUACUGUACUCUCUGGUUCUCAUUGGUUCUGAUUGACUCCCAUACAUUCCUACACAUUCCCACGCAUUCCUACGCAUUCUCCGGUCCAGUCUCAUCUGGUCCCGUCCCGUCCCGUCCCGUCCUGUGGAUUGUUCUGCUCGACUUCCUUUGCAUGGCAUGUGGCUCCCCAGGCAGCCUCCUGAUCUUAUAUCGGCAACACCUUACUCCUUAGGGAAUUGACUCUUCUCGGCCAUUCACACAUUCUGUAGACUCAUAUGUAGAAGUAGUUGAUGAUUGAAAAAAUCAGACUCUGCCUUAUUCCAAUUUCUUUUCAGUUUAGGCUCUUUUUGGAAAUGAAUUUCAAGGUUGCCUUGCGGGCGGGCUUGAUGGUAGGUAGGCGCAUAGUUGCAAGGCUUUGUCUCCCCCAACCUCCUUUGAAACAGACCCUGUAGACCCCUCACCCAUCGCCUCCAGCUAUCUUCGGACCGUGGUAUCCCAAACAAACACUUUUCCUCCAUUUUCGUUUUCCUUGGAGAAUUCUAAAAUGGCGACGAUCCCCGUCGAGCGUCACUUUUCGACGGUUGUGCAAACGCUUCUUAGCACUACGACACCAAGCCAGCCUGUCAAAGUGCAUUCACCUUGUUGAGUAUCAAAGCAACCCUUCUUGUUUCUUUGUUUUUGUGAGUCACACGAUAUCGGAUUUUUUAUCAACCCUAUCGUGAUCAUCGAUCGAAUAAAAAAGAAAGGACUUUGUUCGAUAGAUCAUUAAAUCCCGACUAUACCCCAAUCGAUCGAUCUUCCCAUUGUUCCCUACCCAACGCUCGACCUACCGUCCAAGGCAGGCAGAUCGAAAGCAGCGUCGAUACGAGACAGCAAGCGAAACUGGACAGAUAGUGAGAUGCUAUACAAUCUGCUUUCGUUAAGCGUUUAGUGGUGUCAUGCGACUAAUUUCGAAUUUAACCAUGGCCGACCCCCGUGUGCGGCGCUACAUAAAAACAAACGUUUAAGGUCAGGCAGGCAUUAGAUUGCGCAAACUCAAGUCCUCUCUGGUCUUGACAGUCUUGGCCCGUUUAGCAGGAAUUACUCUACCUACAACUCGCCGUGAAACUCAGUCUCUAUCCAUCUGAAGGAAGCGAAGAACUCCUACCGGAACAGAAGUAAAGACGUUGGAAUAAGCAUUAGUGGGUUUGACCAGCCGUGCAUUUAUGUGCCGUAUGGGAUGAAUUCCUUUUUGAUGUGCAUUUCCUGCAGGCGCCCAGUCGGUGUUCUCCCGACGCGCAUGAAAUUGUGAUAGGACGGGUCCACGAUCUCGAGAAGGUCCACCAACUCUCAAUUCUCGAGGGCGAAAACAAAUCACAAUCAAUACGACAACGCUAGGGGCUAUUGGUACCCUGUUUCAGGGAUAGGGGGAGGUACUAAUUGGGGCAAUAUGGCCGGUGUCCUUCUACUACGUAACUGGGGCAGCGUCUCUGAAUUUAUUCACCACUCUGUUUUUGCCGAUGCUUUACAUAAAACGUAUCGCUUGAUCU
rnacentral:lncRNA from 1 species